GUGAGCGUUGGUGUGCGAAUGUAGGAUCAUGGUUGAUGAGGUGAUGCCAUUUCUUAUUGACGGACUUGAACCUAAAGAGAGUCUUGUUCGUAAGCCAAAUGAAUGAUUUCUUCAGGUAUCAUUAUUACCACUGAAGCGAUCUUGUUACUCUAUCAAGUACAAAUAUAAGAUAAAAUAAUUAAUAGGUAAAUGUUAUAAGCUAAAGAAGAAAAAAGAAACCAAAAAGAAAAACCAUCGAAACAUUUAAAGAAUGAACAUAUUGCUAGAAAUACUCCGACAAAUAAAAAUUUGUCAUGACUCAAAAUCAAGGAUGUGAUGAUUCAACAAAUGCGUAACCAACGAAUUUUAAAUAUUUUAACCCAAAUCAUACGGGUGGAAACUUACAUUUAUUUUACUUGACCUUAUGGCACAACUAUAAUUGAAAUAAUAGCAGUGAAAGAAGUUACAUAAUAGCAAGGGGUUGGGUUUCGUUAGUAGAGCUAGGAAAGUUACGACUAGAUUAGACUAAACAAGACUUAGGUCUGAAAUUUCAUGUCUUUUCUUCCACUACCUAUAAAAAUUUAUUCUACAGAUCUAAUAGGUCACUAAUAAGUCUAAUAAAUUCUAGAUAAAAUUCUAAAAUUCAAAAUGAUGCAUAAAUCCUGAAGUUUAAUUAAUUAAAAUGAGGAAAACCUAAUAUUAAUUAUUUAUUGAUUUAAAAAAAAACAAGACUUUAUCUUAUCUCCUUCUAAGGUCACAUAGUUAUUAUAUUAAUCACAUAUUUGAAAAACAAUUAAGAAGAAAAAAUUCUAUGACUAUAUCGUGUGUUUUACCAAACUAAAUGGGGAAAUGAAAUGUGCUAUCAUUUCAUAGAGUUCAACAACACCUACCAACCAAUCUAUUACCACAGAAUAAUGAUAAUUAUGGAAUCAAGAAUAAGGUAGAUGUUAAUCCCCAUGUACAUCAAAUGUAGAGUUAUGCUUGUGCAUGAAUAUGGCAUCACAAUCCACCAAAAGAAAAUAAUUUAUUUCAAAAAAAUUCUUCAUUAAUUUCUUAAUCAAAAUCCAUCAAGAUUUCACCUUAAAUUGAUAGAAAAAUAUAAGUACAUGAAACCAGAAUUAGCAAGGAUUUCUACCCAUUCUUUAAGCAGUAUUAUGCCUCAUUCGAGCACAUAAGUAGAGAAAAUUGACUCAGCCUGAACCAAAAAGCUGAACAAAAUUAAACAACGUAAUAUAUAUUGGGCUGAUUGAGACUAUUUAUAAUAUAAAAAUAUCUUAAAUGACACAUUAAAAGGGUAUUUUUCCAAGGGACACAUUCUUUCAAUAAGGUGAUUAUUGACUAAUUUACAAAAUUUUGAUUUUCAGAAAACCUCUAUCAUAAGAAAGCAUACCUUCGAAUUGGAAUGUGUAUUAUAUAUAGGAAAAACAGAUGGGAUACUCCGUGGAGGAAAGUCAUAAUAGACAAUUAUAUUGUAUAUUUAUUAUAUAUAGGAAAGAAAAAAAAUCCCAUCAAUAUGUUCUCCUCUAAAAAUAUCUCAUAUAUAGGAAACGACAUAACUUCCAAAAUAGCUCCCAAAUCAAAUUAUCAUUAGUUGCAUGUUAUGAGAAAAAGAAAACUGAAAGAGUAAUUUCAGAGUACCAUACUCUAAAAGAAAAAAAUACAAGCAAAAAAUAGCUUUAAAAUGUGAUAAAAUUUAACAUGUAUUUUUUAUAAAGAUAAUGUCAAGUAUGGUUGUAUGUUACGAGGGAUGAAGUAUAUACAAUGAAGCUUGAAUCCAUGAGGUGUUGAAUAUCAUAUUUUGAUGAUGAAGUCAAUUAUUAUUUGGUUAUCUAAUCUGUAUGCUGAGAUAAGUGUGCAGGAUUAACCAUGAUGACAGUAAGACAUGCAGUAGGUGUUAAGCCGGAGUCAAGACCAAGAUCACGUUGGGGGUUCGAGACUUCGUCGGAGGUUCUGAGGGAACAAUCCGAAAAGUCUAGGAACUUGCCAAAGAACCUCGUCGGAACUUGCCAAGAGGAUCGUUGCAAGUCCAAGAGUUUGUCGGGAGUCCACCGGAGCAUCGUUGAGGGUUCGUCGGAUGUUCGUUGGAAGUUCACCGGAAGCUUGCCGGAAGAAGCGAUUGACGCACCGAAACACGAUCUGCAGUAUUGAUGUCUUAAUUGUCGUAGUUAGCAUGUAGAUUAAGUUAGGAUUGGGAGGUGAUCCCAUUAACUUAAUCUGGGGCCAAUUGGGCCCUUGGUAGACCCAAAUUGGGCCGAAUGGAUCAGCUCAUUCGGACCCAGAAUUCUUGGCCGGCGGUGGCACCGCUCAGGAGACUCGGUCUCCCAGGAGUUCUGGGUGGUAGUACCGCCUGAGCUCGGUCUUCGAGCAAUGUCAGGUGGUAGUACCGCCCAGACUGAGCGGUAGCACCGUCCAGACUGAGCAGUAGCACCGCUUAGUGACAGAUGACAGGCAGUAGUACCGCCCAGUUAUGGUGGUGGUACCACCAGGAACCCGAAAAUCCAAGAAUGGACACUUUUGAGCUCCGAAUUCAAACUGAUUGAGGAUUAUAUAAACCCCACCCUUUUCUGCAUGAAAGGAAACCGAAAGCUUGCUUUUAUUCUGAGUAUUUGAGAGCUUAAAAGUGUUGUAAAAGGUUAGAGUUCCUCUCCUUCUUUUCUUUCUAAGUCUUGAUCAUUCAAUAGAGGAGUGAAAACUUAUAAGGGUUGUCUCCUAAGCCUGUCAAAAGGAGAAAAGCUGUAAAAGGAUGGUUGGUCUUCGCCUAUUGAAGGAAGGCCUCUAGUGGAUGUCGGUGACCUCAUCGGAGGAGGAAGCCAAAAGUAGAUGUAGGUCAAGAUUGACCGAACCACUCUAAAUCUCGGUUUGCAUUUACAUUCUAAUCUUUAUCUUAACUGCAAACUGCCUCCGUUGCUUUACAUCAACUAUACUUCCGUUUGCUCUCAAGUUAAAGAUCUUUCCGAAACGGUUUUCGUUCGAAGUCUUUUUGAACCGACGAAAGUUUUCCACUAUACUAAUUCAACCCCCCCUCCCCCCCCCUUCCCCUCUUAGUGCUCUUGAUCCUAACAUGAUGUACUCAGGAAUCAAGGCAAGCGUUUAUUGAUAUUGGGUGAUUGGAUGAGGAAAAUUUUGAUUCUGACCCAUAGAAACUAGUGUUAGAGGUAUACCUAAUAAGACGACUUUUGACGCUUACAUUAAUUGGUCAGGGAGCGUGUCAUUCAUUCUAGAGCUCCAGUUAUAAAACUAUAUGUGGCUAAGGAGGUGUUACAAAUUGAAUACAUCAUAGAAGAUUGGGAGAUCGGAUUAUUAGUGAUUUAUUGAUGAUAUGGUUGAUGAUAUUGUUGAUGAUGAUGUUCUACUAAAUUAGAUAUAAACAUAUGAUAGACAAUUGAAUAAAGAAAAUUAUUUUGAUAAAAAAAUAUAUAGACGUAUGAUAGACAGUUUAUUAUAUCUCAUUGUAACUAGACCUGAUAAAAUAUUUAGUGUUGGGCUUUGUAUAAGAUUUCAAGAUAAUUUUAAAUAAUCUCACUUUAAAACAAUAAAAAGAAUUUUUAGGUACAGGAACAUCAUUUCUAGGAUUAUGAUAUCCUAGAUCUAAUAACUUUGAUUUGAUUAUUUAUACUAAUACUGACUUUGUAUAAUAUAGAAUAGAGAGAAAAAGUAUAUUUGGAACUCGUCAAUUCCUAGAUCAUGCACUUGUUUCUUGAUCAUCAAAGAAACAAAACUCUAUCACACUAUCUACAACUAAAGCUAAAUAUGUUACGGUAUGUGCAUGUUUUGUAUAGGUAAUUUGGAUGAAUAACACUUUAGAAGAUUAUGGACUUUACUUAAAAAUCAUCUAUCUAAAAUGAUAAUACUAAUUCAAUUUGUUUGACAAAGAAUCAUAUAUAACACUUUAGGACUAAGCACAUUCAUAUUAAAUAUCAUUUUAUUAGGGAUCAAUUGAUGAAACUAAUGAUAAGUUUAUUGGACUAAAUAUGUUUUUAAGAUAAGUGAUACAAGAAAUACUUCAAGAUUGAUGCUUGCAUGAGAUGUUUCUUAGUAGUCACAUGCCUAAGACAAUCCAAGCUAAGGCCAUGAAAGUGCAACACGCUUGUGAUAUCCAUUCAUAAAAGGAUCAAUUGCAUUCUCCUAGGGACCCACAUGGAGAAUCAGUGGGUUAGUGAACGUGAAUGCAUAGGCAAACUAAUCAUCACUCUCUCAAGCAUAAACUUGGAAAAGCACAACAAUAUUAACACAAACACUUUAUGAAUAAUGCAAUACAAAAAUAGACUUCAUAAAUUCAAAACAACAUGACAAGUGAGUGCACAUGCUACAUUGGUAGUUGAGCAAUACGAUGACCCAUCCUUAAAUAUUACCUGAUAUGGUUGAUAUUUCGAGUGACAUCUCUAUUCAAGUAGAUCCCAACAAGUUACGAUCUAGGGGCUUCAUUUUUUUAAUAAAAAUGGUUUUUCCUUGACCACGAGCUAUGAUUACAGGACAUAAAAUCCAAUAAAACCCAACCAACAUGGAGUUGUCUAACCAAAUAUAAGCCACUUACAUAUUAUCUAAGAUAUGUAUAAAUUGAAAGCAUGAACAUUACGUUAAACACAUUUGCUAUAAAUAACCCGUAACAAUACAAAUGCAUCUCUAUUGGCUUAUAUGGUUUAUGUAACCUUGAUGUAUCUCAAGGUUUCUCCUUGGGCCAUUUCAAGAAUCGCUCAAAAUAUAUAAAGCUUCAACUGAAACCAAACAAUAGCACGAGAAAACAGAAAUAAAGGCCACUACUACUAAAUGCAUUUAUUAGUCUUAGGUGGUGCACCCAAACCAAAUAAAGAUCUAGUGCAUAUUGUUUCUGUACUUUGUAUAGUAAACUCUAAUCUUGUGGGUUUAAUCCACUGACACAUGCUCUAAUCUCCAAGUUAUACUCCAAAAAAAAGAAGAAAAUAUGACAUUAAAUAAAGAUACUGAACAAUUAUUAAAUUUUGGGCAGUUUAAUUUAUUUAUUAACUUAUAAAAAUUAAGUUAGGGAUACAGGAAGCAAUACUCAUCAAUAUAUAUAGUCAACAUAAUAUGUAGACUCACUUCAAUGUGGUGAUGUUAUAAUAGAACAAAAUAAGAAAAAUACUAUUGAAUUUGCAUCACUAUAAAUUUUGAGGUGCAGAGAAGCCUUGCCAAACUUAGUAUUUUAAGCUACCUAUCUCGGCCAUAUUAUUGUAAUUUAACACUACGUACUGACAAGGUGACCAUAGCCGAUUCUGCUUCAACAUAUCGAUCAUCACAGUCUCUCCUGUCUUCAUGUCGUGACAACACAACAUUGCCUUCCUCCCCAUAGAAAAUAAUGUCAGAUCCAUGAAUACCUUAUCACCCCCACAGAAUGGUAGAAGUGAAAAAGAGUCAAUGUCCCUAAUGUUCAAAAAAUCUAAAACAUGGUACCUCUUAACCCAUUCUCCAUCCUUACUCAUCAUCCAUAUGAAAAUUGAAUUAUUUUUCAUAAAUAGAGUGCUUGUCAAAAUCUCUUCAUCAGUUACCCCGAUACAUUGACAAUAAACAUCAUCAUAAUAUAUUGGAAUGUCUUCAUAUUCUAUUGGCGACAUCAUGCUGCCUGAGAUAUUUUUAUCAAGGUCAAACCAUAUUAUGUAGGGAAAAUAGUUCCAAUAUAUGAUGCCUCUAGCGUACAACACAUUCCACCGAUACCUAUUGAACUCAUCUUUGAUAACAAGCUUCUGAUCAGAAAUUAUCCAUUUCCCUAUGUCCGAAGAGUAUAUCUUGAACUCAAUCUCAGUAAAUUCUAGUUCAUUGUCUUCUACUAGUUUUAUUAGUCUAUAACGGGUCGAAGUAGUUGAUGGUUCAAAGGCCAGGCCAAUAUUCUCAUAAACUUGAACUUGACUUUCAGGGAUGGCAUGACCCUCUUUUGUCACUGGAUUCCACACAUAAUGGAAGGUGCUCUCGUCUUCAUACAUGUACCAUUCGUUUUCGUUUUGUUCCUCCCAUCUUGUCAACAAUAACAAGAGGAGGCCAUUGGCAGAGGCAGCAAUAUACGCGGAACAUCCAGCAAUAUACGCAGAACAUCCAUCAGGAAGGGAGAAAGACAACUUAGUUUCACAAACGUCAUGUUGCCCAAUAAGGUUGACGGGCAUAAAGUCAAUAUUGUGAUCACAUAUCCACACAAAGCCAGGCAACCCACAACGGCGUGAGCGUUGGUGUGCGAAUGUAGGAUCAUGGUUGAUGAGAUGAUGCCAUUUCUUAUUGACGGACUUGAACUUGAAGAGAGCCUUAUUGGUAAGCCAUGGGAGAAUUUCCAAAUGAAUGAUGUCUUCGGGUAUCGUUGCCACUAUAGCGACCAUGUUUCUCUAUCAAGUAAGAGAAAAUAAUUAAUAGGUAAAUGUUAUAAGCCAAAGAAUAAAAAAAAAUCAAAAAGAAAAAACCAUCAAACAUUCAAAAAAAUGAACAUAUUGCUAGAUAUACUCCAAUCAAUAAAAUUUGUCACAACUCAAAACCAAGGAUGUGAUGAUUCAACAAAUGCGUAACCACAGAAUUUUAAAUAUUUAAACCCAAAUCAUACAGGUGGAAAAUUACAUUUAUUUCAAUUGACCUUAUCACACAACUAUAAUUGAAAUAAUAGCAGUGAAAGAUAUUGCAUAACAGCAGCGCUUAAUAAGAAGGGGUUGGGUUUCAUUAGUUGAGCUAGGAAGGUUACAACUAGAUUAGACUAAACAGGACUUAGGUCUGAAAUUUCAUGUCUUUUCUAUCCCCAUGUACAUCAAAUGCAGAGUUAUGCUUGUGCAUGAAUAUGACAUCACAAU
rnacentral:lncRNA from 1 species